AUGAGUGUUCGCCUGCUGCUCCUGUUGGCCCUCGUCGGCCCAUUCGGCGCCUUCACGCACGCAAGCCCCACGGAGCUGCCUGGAGACUGGACCUCCUCCUUCACGCAGACGGACCAGCCCGUCUCCACCGAGGCUGCCACAACAGAAGGCUUCUCCACCGCCGCCUCCCUUCCUCCUACAACCGAAGCGGCGACCGCAGCGGCGACCGCUACGGAGGCCGACGCUGUCACAGAGGUCACCACCGUUCCACUGACUCAGACAAACACUCCGGACGUUACUACUGCGGUGACGGACCUCACCAGCGAACCCAUCACUCCGGCUGCAGGGACCGAAGGGCCCACCGAGCUGGUGGAGACCGUCCAAACCGCCGUGGUCAAAGGUGGUCAAGCAGAAGUGAGCGAAGAGGUGGUUGUUGAAGACGAGGCAGUGGGGGGCCUGGGCUCAGGCCAGGUAGUCGGCAUCGUCAUUGGCGCUCUGGUGGCGGCGGUGGUCGUCAUCGCCGUGGUGAUCGUUGUGAUGCGGAGGAUGGGGAAAUACUCCCCUUGAGGAAAAAGACGACCAAGCAGGACCACCCAAAGUUCUGGAAAUUUUGAACUACUGAACUGUAACGCCAUUUCCCGCCAACGCAACGAGCUCGACACCAGAACCGAACCCCAUCCGACCCGGUGUCUGCGCCGUUACCAAAAAGCAAACGGAAGAGGGGGGAGCCGAGCCGGUGUGUGUUUGUGUGUGUGCGAGACGAGGGAGGCACACGAGCACACACCCUCCCUCCCCCCGCUGCCUCCCUGACCCCCCGUGGAGCUGCUGAUGUCUUCCACACUCCCCGAUGAAAUAAGCUGAUGACGCAGUCUCACAAGAGUCUCAUUAAAGAGGUUGUCAAGUAAAUUGAAUAUAACAAACUAAAGGUAAAUGAAGUACAGGUGGAAGGUGGGAGCAGAGAACAAACAGGCAAGACUGUUACAAAUUCCACAGUCUGUGUAUAAAAUGCAAGGGGACGACUUAGUAUAGGGCUAGAGUUACUACUUAUCUGCUAGACGACACAUGCAGUCACUGUAUGAACACCCGGCUCGGCACCGUCGACGUGACGCUCGGCCCGCUGUAGCACGGACGCAGAGAGAAGUCGUACGUAUCUGUGAAAUUUAGCAGAAGGGUUUGUGCCGCCGGCGCCUCUGGUGUUCUCCGAGCAGGAUUUUUUAACGUUUGAAGUGCAUUAAUAAUGUGAAUUGACUGUACUUUACUGCUGCCACCCAUUCCAAAAACAACAGCUUUGACGACCUAUGGCUUGUUCCAGUCACACACACACACACACACACACACACACACACACACACACACACACACACACACACACACACACACACACACACACACAGAGGUGGUUAGAUAGAGUAACAAAGGAGUCAUAGUACUUUGUCAUUAGGUAGGUUACCAGAGCAGCCAUUCAGCCUUUAAACAGCUCCAACCACAGAUUACCCACGUUUUCUAGAUGCACUUAGCUUCAGUGCGCAGAGUUAAAGCUCUUUUUUUGCUACUUUUGCAGUUGCAGCCGCACUAAAUGGACGUACGUGUACAAUUAAUGACCUGGCUCUGCUUGCUUUAUACAGUAAACCUGUUUAAUACGUGCACUGAAUGAGUGAUGUUACGUUUCAUGAAUGAGCUUCAGACACUGCAAUCGUUUGCAACGACGUGUUUUCUGCUUUGCCGCAUCUCAUCUGUUUGACUCUUUUAUUUAAUUGCGGUGUUUUUGUUCAUGGUGUUUCAUUAAAUAAAAAAGAAACUGUAAACA
rnacentral:lncRNA from 1 species